rnacentral:rRNA from 1 species
UACGUAGGUGGCAAGCGUUAUCCGGAUUUAUUGGGUUUAAAGGGUGCGCAGGCGGUCUGUUAAGUCAGCGGUCAAAGCCCGGGGCUCAACCCCGGCCCGCCGUUGAAACUGGCAGUCUCGAGUUGGAGAGAAGUAUGCGGAAUGCGCGGUGUAGCGGUGAAAUGCAUAGAUAUCGCGCAGAACUCCGAUUGCGAAGGCAGCGUACCGGCGCCACACUGACGCUGAGGCACGAAAGCGUGGGGAUCGAACAGG